rnacentral:rRNA from 1 species
AGUGAACGCUGGCGGUAGGCCUAACACAUGCAAGUCGAACGGCAGCACAGGAGAGCUUGCUCUCUGGGUGGCGAGUGGCGGACGGGUGAGGAAUACAUCGGAAUCUACUCUGUCGUGGGGGAUAACGUAGGGAAACUUACGCUAAUACCGCAUACGACCUACGGGUGAAAGCAGGGGACCUUCGGGCCUUGCGCGAUUGAAUGAGCCGAUGUCGGAUUAGAUAGUUGGCGGGGUAAAGGCCCACCAAGGCGACGAUCCGUAGCUGGGUUGAGAGGAUGAUCAGCCACACUGGAACUGAGACACGGUCCAGACUCCUACGGGAGGCAGCAGUGGGGAAUAUUGGACAAUGGGCGCAAGCCUGAUCCAGCCAUACCGCGUGGGUGAAGAAGGCCUUCGGGUUGUAAAGCCCUUUUGUUGGGAAAGAAAUCCAGCUGGCUAAUACCCGGUUGGGAUGACGGUACCCAAAGAAUAAGCACCGGCUAACUUCGUGCCAGCCGCCGCCGUAA